GCUCUCGUGGCGAAACGGUAAACGCCUCCGUUUGAGGGACGGAGUUGAUGCAGGUUCAAAUCCUGUCGAGAGUACCA
rnacentral:tRNA from 5 species